rnacentral:rRNA from 1 species
CCUACGGGAGGCAGCAGUGAGGAAUAUUGGUCAAUGGACGAGAGUCUGAACCAGCCAAGUAGCGUGAAGGAUGACUGCCCUAUGGGUUGUAAACUUCUUUUAUAAAGGAAUAAAACGCGGCACGUGUGCCUUUUUGCAUGUACUUUAUGAAUAAGGACCGGCUAACUCCGUGCCAGCAGCCGCGGUAAUACGGAGGAUCCGAGCGUUAUCCGGAUUUAUUGGGUUUAAAGGGAGCGUAGAUGGGUUGUUAAGUCAGUUGUGAAAGUCUGCGGCUCAACCGUAAAAUUGCAAUUGAUACUGGCGGUCUUGAGUGCAGUUGAGGUAGGCGGAAUUCGUGGUGUAGCGGUGAAAUGCUUAGAUAUCACGAAGAACCCCGAUUGCGAAGGCAGCUUACUAAACUGUGACUGACAUUGAUGCUCGGAAGUGUGGGUAUCAAACAGGAUUAGAACCCUAGUAGC